GACGAACGCUGGCGGCGUGGAUUAGGCAUGCAAGUCGAACGGUAUCAUCCUUUCGGGGGUGAGAGAGUGGCGAACUGGUGAGUAACACGUAGGUUAUCUACCCUCAAGACGGGGACAACCCAGGGAAACUUGGGCUAAUACCGGAUGUGAGCAACUUUUAGUUGUUUGAAAGGUGGCGUAAGCUGUCGCUUGGGGAUGAGCCUGCGUCCUAUUAGUUAGUUGGUGAGGUAACGGCUCACCUAGGCAAUGAUAGGUAGGCGGCCUUAACGGGUGGUCGCCCACACUGGGAUUGAGAUACGGCCCAGACUCCUACGGGAGGCAGCAGUCGAGAAUAGUCUACAAUGGUCGGAAGACUGAUAGUGCGACGCCGCGUGAACGAUGAAUCCCUUCGGGGUGUAAAGUUCUUUUAUAUGUGAGCAGUGCUUCUUAUAUUAACAGUAUGGGGAGAGAGAUAUUAGCAUAUGAAUAAAGCAACGGCUAACUCCGUGCCAGCAGCCGCGGUAAAAUA
rnacentral:rRNA from 1 species